AUGGGUUCCACGGCGCGGCCGGGCAACCGUGCCACCGCUGGCUUGGCUAAUGGAAGCCGGCCGGUCGGCUGUAGCUGUCGCCAUUGCUGCCGUGCCGUCCCUCCCUCUUCCAAGCUCCCAAGUCCGAGCCAACGCCGCCUCCAAUACAAGCCCACCCAGCCGGAAAUCUCAGCGCCACCAGCCACCAAGGGAGAAGAUACCCAGCAAAAGAAGGGGUUGGCGGCCGUGGUGGUGCCGGCGCCGAGGCCGCGCAAGGGGGUGGCGUCCUGGGCGCUGGACAUGCUCGAGCGGCUCGUGGUCCGCCUCGGCCACGACAAGAAGGCCGAGCCGAACCCCUGGCUCUCUGGCAACUUCGCCCCGGUGCUGCACGAGACCCCUCCCACAGCCGGCCUCCCCGUCCGCGGACACCUCCCGGAGUGCUUGAAUGGAGAGUUUCUUAGGGUCGGGGCUAAUCCAAAGUUUGCCCCGGUUGCAGGGUACCAUUGGUUUGAUGGGGAUGGAAUGAUCCAUGCAUUGCACAUUAAAGAUGGGAAAGCUACAUAUGUAUCAAGAUACGUGACGACUUCUCGCUUCAAGCAAGAAGAGUAUUUUGGUGGAGCAAAGUUUAUGAAGGUUGGAGAUCUAAAGGGCCUUUUUGGAUUGUUUAUGGUCUUAACGCAAGAACUUAGGAAGAAACUUCAAGUCUUGGAUGCUACUUAUGGAACUGGACCAGCGAAUACUGCGUUUAUAUAUCAUCAUGGCAAACUCAUGGCCCUCUCAGAAUCAGAUAAACCAUAUGUUGUUAGGAUCCUUGAAGAUGGAGACCUGCAAACUCUAGGGUUGUUGGAGUAUGACCAAAGGUUGAAACAUCCUUUCACCGCUCAUCCAAAGGUUGAUCCAUUUACAGAUGAAAUGUUCACCUUUGGAUACUCGCAUGAACCUCCUUAUUGUACAUAUCGAGUCAUCACCAAGGAUGGAAUUAUGCUUGAUCCAGUGCCAAUAACAAUACCGGAAUCUGUAAUGAUGAUGCAUGACUUUGCCAUUACAGCAAACUAUUCCAUAUUUAUGGACUUGCCAAUGCUUUUUCGACCAAAGGAAAUGGUGAAGAAUGAUGAAUUUAUCUACAAGUUUGAUCCUGCAAAGAAAGCUCGUUUUGGUAUACUACAACGCUAUGAGAAGGACGAGAAAAACAUCAAAUGGUUUGAACUCCCCAAUUGCUUCAUAUUCCACAAUGCUAAUGCGUGGGAAGAAGGCAGCGAAGUUAUUCUGAUUACCUGCCGUCACAACAACGUAGAUUUGGACCAGGUGAAUGGUAACCAAAGCGACAAGCUUGAGGACCACGGGAAUGAGUUGUACGAGAUGAGAUUCAACAUGAAAACAGGUGCUGCUUCGCAAAAGCAACUGUCUGUCUCUGCCAUAGACUUUCCUCGAAUCAAUGAGAGUUAUACUGGCAGAAAGCAGCGGUACAUCUACUGCAUGAUACUUGAGAGCACAAUCAAGGUGACUGGAAUCUUAAAAAUGACCGGCAUCAUAAAAUUUGAUCUACAUGCCAAACCAGAGAGAAGCAAGGAGCAUCUUGAAGUUGGGGGAAAUGUGACAGGCAUAUAUGACCUGAGCCCCGGUAUGUUUUGCUCAGAGGCAGUCUUUGUGCCCAAGGAGCCCGGUGUUUCCGGUGAAGAAGACGAUGGGUACUUGAUAUUCUUUGUUCACGAUGAAAACACAGGGAAAUCUGAAGUAAAUGUUAUUGAUGCCAAGACGAUGUCUGCUGAUCCAGUGGCAGUUGUUGAGCUGCCAAGCCGGGUACCUUACGGAUUCCACGCCUUCUUUGUCAACGAGGAACAAUUAGGACAUCAAGUAGAGUGGUGA
rnacentral:rRNA from 1 species